AGAGUUUGAUCCUGGCUCAGAACGAACGCUGGCGGCGUGGAUAAGACAUGCAAGUUGAACGCUAAAUUUUGGGUAGCAAUAUUCAAAGUUUGGAGUGGCGAAAGGGUGCGUAACACGUGGGUAAUUUGCCAUGAAGUUAGGAAUAACUCCGAGAAAUCGGAGCUAAUGCCAAAUGUGCCAGUUUUUCAGCAUUUUGAAACUGGUAAAGUCGGGGACCGCAAGGCCUGACGCUUCGUGAUAAGCCCGCGGCCUAUCAGCUAGUUGGUGGGGUAACGGCUCACCAAGGCUAAGACGGGUAGCUGGUCUGAGAGGACGACCAGUCACACUGGAACUGAGACACGGUCCAGACACCUACGGGUGGCAGCAGUCGAGAAUUUUUCUCAAUGGGCGAAAGCCUGAAGGAGCGACGCCGCGUGGGGGAUGAAGGGCUUCGGCUCGUAAACCCCUGUCAUUUGCGAACAAUGUGCGCGACAAUAACUGGUUGCGCAUUGCUUGUAGCAGAAGAGGAAGGGACGGCUAACUCUGUGCCAGCAGCCGCGGUAAUACAGAGGUCCCAAGCGUUGUUCGGAUUCACUGGGCGUAAAGGGUGCGUAGGCGGUAGGGUAAGUCUGAUGUGAAAGCUCUGGGCCUAACCCAGAAAUUGCAUUGGAAACUAUCCUGCUAGAGUCUCUAAGGGGAGGCUGGAAUUCUCGGUGUAGCAGUGAAAUGCGUAGAUAUCGUGAGGAACACUAGUGGCGAAAGCGGAUGUCUGGACAGUAUCUGACGCUGAGGCACGAAAGGCCAGGGGAGCGAACGGGAUU
rnacentral:rRNA from 1 species